rnacentral:rRNA from 1 species
AUGAACGCUGGCGGCGUGCCUAAUACAUGCAAGUCGAGCGAACAGACGAGGAGCUUGCUCCUUCGACGUUAGCGGCGGACGGGUGAGUAACACGUAGGUAACCUACCUAUAAGACUGGGAUAACUUCGGGAAACCGGAGCUAAUACCGGAUAAUAUUUCGAACCGCAUGGUUCGAUAGUGAAAGAUGGCUUUGCUAUCACUUAUAGAUGGACCUGCGCCGUAUUAGCUAGUUGGUAAGGUAACGGCUUACCAAGGCAACGAUACGUAGCCGACCUGAGAGGGUGAUCGGCCACACUGGAACUGAGACACGGUCCAGACUCCUACGGGAGGCAGCAGUAGGGAAUCUUCCGCAAUGGGCGAAAGCCUGACGGAGCAACGCCGCGUGAGUGAUGAAGGUCUUCGGAUCGUAAAACUCUGUUAUUAGGGAAGAACAAACGUGUAAGUAACUGUGCACGUCUUGACGGUACCUAAUUAGAAAGCCACGGCUAACUACGU